rnacentral:rRNA from 1 species
CCUACGGGGGGCAGCAGUGGGGAAUCUUGCACAAUGGGGGAAACCCUGAUGCAGCGACGCCGCGUGAGCGAUGAAGCCCUUCGGGGUGUAAAGCUCUUUCGGCAGGAACGCGGUACCUGAAGAAGAAGCUGCGGCUAACUACGUGCCAGCAGCCGCGGUAAUACGUAGGCAGCAAGCGUUGUUCGGAGUUACUGGGCGUAAAGAGUGUGUAGGCGGUGCUCUAAGUUUGGUGUGAAAUCUCCCGGCUCAACUGGGAGGGUGCGCCGAAAACUGGAGUGCUCGAGUAUGGGAGAGGAAAGCGGAAUUCCUGGUGUAGCGGUGAAAUGCGUAGAUAUCAGGAGGAACACCUGCGGUGUAGACGGCUUUCUGGACCAUACUGACGCUGAGACACGAAAGCGUGGGUAGCAAACAGGAUUAGAUACCCUUGUAGUC